CACCCUCUCGUCUGUCUCUGUGCAAUUGACAGGUUUGAAAUGAGAUUGCUUUCCUAACUACCUGUGGGGCCACCCGUGAGUCAAUGUUUCAUAUUCAUUAACUAAUGUACAGCUGGAGACAGUAAAACCUUUCAGUGAAGGCUGAUUUCAGAGCUUGCUAAGUCAAUAUCCCUCCUUUGAUUGUUCUCCUAUCUCAUAGCAGCAUUUGCUUCCCUCCUAAAUAUUCACUCCUAGAAGUGGAUAUUGUAGCCUAUGUUGACAUUGUCUGAUGCCACUUUGCAGCUUCUGAAAUAUGUAUAUUUGGACUGUUGGAGAGUAUAAAAAUAGAGAAAAGUUCCUGGAAAGACUUUCUGGACAGAUGAGCCAACAAUUGACACCUGAGCUACCUGAACAACUGCCUGUGAAAGCAUAUUUCUUCUGUGCUUUGAGGAAGAGCUUGUGAAGCUGACAGCCCUGCUGCUCCAUUCCAGGCUAGCUCUUGAAAAGGAGAAAGGAGAAGCAUGUCUGUUUCCAUCAGUGUACCUCUCUUUGUCGUGUCAUCUUGAGCUCCGC
rnacentral:lncRNA from 1 species